UAGCGGAGGAAAAGAAACUAACAGGGAUUCCCUUAGUAAGGGCGACUGAACCGGGAAGAGCCCAGCGCAUAACCUGGCGUCGUGACCCGGCGCCAGGGGUGUUGCGUUUCGGAGGGUCCGGCACGCAGUCUCUCACCGCCUAAGUUAUGCUUGAAAGCGGCCACUACCCAUGGAGGGUGACAGGCCCGUGUGGCGGCGCCCGCGAGGGUACACGAGAGAUUGUCGGAAAGGGCCUCUCCGUAGAGUCGGGUUGCUUGAAAAUGCAGCCCUAAGCAGGUGGUAAACUCCUUCUAAAGCUAA
rnacentral:rRNA from 1 species